rnacentral:rRNA from 1 species
CCCUGGCUCAGGACGAACGCUGGCGGCGUGCCUAAUACAUGCAAGUCGAGCGAACCACUUCGGUGGUUAGCGGCGGACGGGUGAGUAACACGUGGGCAACCUGCCUGUAAGACUGGGAUAACACCGGGAAACCGGUGCUAAUACCGGAUAAUCCUUUUCCUCUCAUGAGGAAAAGCUGAAAGUCGGUUUCGGCUGACACUUACAGAUGGGCCCGCGGCGCAUUAGCUAGUUGGUGAGGUAACGGCUCACCAAGGCGACGAUGCGUAGCCGACCUGAGAGGGUGAUCGGCCACACUGGGACUGAGACACGGCCCAGACUCCUACGGGAGGCAGCAGUAGGGAAUCUUCCACAAUGGACGAAAGUCUGAUGGAGCAACGCCGCGUGAGCGAUGAAGGCCUUCGGGUCGUAAAGCUCUGUUGUUAGGGAAGAACAAGUACCGGAGUAACUGCCGGUACCUUGACGGUACCUAACCAGAAAGCCACGGCUAACUA